rnacentral:rRNA from 1 species
CAAUUUAAACAACGAAGAGUUUGAUCCUGGCUCAGGAUGAACGCUAGCGACAGGCUUAACACAUGCAAGUCGAGGGGCAGCACAGGUAGCAAUACCGGGUGGCGACCGGCGCACGGGUGAGUAACGCGUAUGCAACUUACCUAUCAGAGGGGGAUAACCCGGCGAAAGUCGGACUAAUACCGCAUGAAGCAGGGGUCCCGCAUGGGGAUAUUUGCUAAAGAUUCAUCGCUGAUAGAUAGGCAUGCGUUCCAUUAGGCAGUUGGCGGGGUAACGGCCCACCAAACCGACGAUGGAUAGGGGUUCUGAGAGGAAGGUCCCCCACAUUGGUACUGAGACACGGACCAAACUCCUACGNNNNNNNNNNNNNNNNNNNNNNNNNNNNNNNNNNNNNNNNNNNNNNNNNNNNNNNNNNNNNNNNNNNNNNCCCGCAUGGGGAUAUUUGCUAAAGAUUCAUCGCUGAUAGAUAGGCAUGCGUUCCAUUAGGCAGUUGGCGGGGUAACGGCCCACCAAACCGACGAUGGAUAGGGGUUCUGAGAGGAAGGUCCCCCACAUUGGUACUGAGACACGGACCAAACUCCUACGGGAGGCAGCAGUGAGGAAUAUUGGUCAAUGGGCGUAAGCCUGAACCAGCCAAGUCGCGUGAGGGAUGAAGGUUCUAUGGAUCGUAAACCUCUUUUAUAAGGGAAUAAAGUGCGGGACGUGUCCCGUUUUGUAUGUACCUUAUGAAUAAGGAUCGGCUAACUCCGUGCCAGCAGCCGCGGUAAUACGGAGGAUUCGAGCGUUAUCCGGAUUUAUUGGGUUUAAAGGGUGCGUAGGCGGCCUUUUAAGUCAGCGGUGAAAGUCUGUGGCUCAACCAUAGAAUUGCCGUUGAAACUGGGGGGCUUGAGUAUGUUUGAGGCAGGCGGAAUGCGUGGUGUAGCGGUGAAAUGCUUAGAUAUCACGCAGAACCCCGAUUGCGAAGGCAGCCUGCCAAGCCAUGACUGACGCUGAUGCACGAAAGCGUGGGGAUCAAACAGGAUUAGAUACCCUGGUAGUCCACGCAGUAAACGAUGAUCACUAGCUGUUUGCGAUACAGUGUAAGCGGCACAGCGANNNNNNNNNNNNNNGGCUUGAGUAUGUUUGAGGCAGGCGGAAUGCGUGGUGUAGCGGUGAAAUGCUUAGAUAUCACGCAGAACCCCGAUUGCGAAGGCAGCCUGCCAAGCCAUGACUGACGCUGAUGCACGAAAGCGUGGGGAUCAAACAGGAUUAGAUACCCUGGUAGUCCACGCAGUAAACGAUGAUCACUAGCUGUUUGCGAUACAGUGUAAGCGGCACAGCGAAAGCGUUAAGUGAUCCACCUGGGGAGUACGCCGGCAACGGUGAAACUCAAAGGAAUUGACGGGGGCCCGCACAAGCGGAGGAACAUGUGGUUUAAUUCGAUGAUACGCGAGGAACCUUACCCGGGUUUGAACGCAUUCGGACCGAGGUGGAAACACCUUUUCUAGCAAUAGCCGUUUGCGAGGUGCUGCAUGGUUGUCGUCAGCUCGUGCCGUGAGGUGUCGGCUUAAGUGCCAUAACGAGCGCAACCCUUGCCACUAGUUACUAACAGGUGAUGCUGAGGACUCUGGUGGGACUGCCAGCGUAAGCUGCGAGGAAGGCGGGGAUGACGUCAAAUCAGCACGGCCCUUACAUCCGGGGCGACACACGUGUUACAAUGGCGUGGACAAAGGGAAGCCACCUGGCGACAGGGAGCGAAUCCCCAAACCACGUCUCAGUUCGGAUCGGAGUCUGCAACCCGACUCCGUGAAGCUGGAUUCGCUAGUAAUCGCGCAUCAGCCAUGGCGCGGUGAAUACGUUCCCGGGCCUUGUACACACCGCCCGUCAAGCCAUGGGAGCCGGGGGUACCUGAAGUCCGUAACCGCGAGGAUCGGCCUAGGGUAAAACUGGUGACUGGGGCUAAGUCGUAACAAGGUAGCCGUACCGGAAGGUGCGGCUGGAACACCUCCUUUCUGGAGCU